rnacentral:rRNA from 1 species
UACAGAGGUCUCAAGCGUUGUUCGGAUUCAUUGGGCGUAAAGGGUGCGUAGGCGGCGCGGUAAGUCGGGAUGUGAAAUCCUUGGAGCUUAACUCCGAAACUGCAUUCGAUACUGCCGUGCUUGAGGACUGGAGAGGAGACUGGAAUUUACGGUGUAAGCGGUGAAAUGCGUAGAUAUCGUAAGGAAGACCAGUGGCGAAGGCGGGUCCUCUGGACAGUUCCUGACGCUGAGGCACGAAGGUCAGGGGAGCAAACGGG